rnacentral:rRNA from 1 species
GAUGAACGCUGGCGGCGUGCUUAACACAUGCAAGUCGAACGGAGCACCCCUGAAGGAGUUUUCGGACAACUGAUGGGAAUGCUUAGUGGCGGACGGGUGAGUAACGCGUGAGCAACCUGCCUUGGAGUGGGGAAUAACAGCUGAAAACAGCUGCUAAUACCGCAUAAUAUGUCUGAACCGCAUGGCUCUGGACAUCAAAGAUUUAUCGCUCUGAGAUGGACUCGCGUCUGAUUAGCUAGUUGGUGGGGCAACGGCCCACCAAGGCGACGAUCAGUAGCCGGACUGAGAGGUUGGCCGGCCACAUUGGGACUGAGACACGGCCCAGACUCCUACGGGAGGCAGCAGUGGGGAAUAUUGGGCAAUGGGCGCAAGCCUGACCCAGCAACGCCGCGUGAAGGAAGAAGGCUUUCGGGUUGUAAACUUCUUUUCUCAGGGACGAAGCAAG